UACAGAGGAGCCAAGCGUUGUCCGGAUUGACUGGGCGUAAAGCGCACGCAGGCGGUCGGGCGCGUGGGGUGUGAAAUCUGGCCGCUUAACGGCCAGGCGCCAUCCCAUACGGCUCGACUGGAGUGAUGCAGAGGUCGAUGGAAUUGCCGGUGUAGUGGUGAAAUGCGUAGAGAUCAGGAAGAACACCCGUGGCGCAAGCGGCCACCUGGCAGAGUUCUGACGCUGAGGCACGAAAGCGUGGGGAGCGAACCGG
rnacentral:rRNA from 1 species